UGCUAUAUGAUAAUUAAUAUAUAGUAAUCUCCUGCCCAGUGAUAUUAUUCAACGGCCGCGGUAUCCUAACCGUGCAAAGGUAGCAUAAUAAUUUGUCCAUUAAUUGUGGACUAGAAUGAACGGGGCAACGAAAUAAGAUCUGUCUUCAAUGUGCUCUCCUAAAACUAUUUUAAAAGUGAAGAAACUUUUAUUAUAAUAAAGGACAAGAAGACCCUAUAGAGCUUUAUUAACAUUAUAUUUCUUAUAUAACUAAAUUCGGUUGGGGCGACCCAGGAAAAUUCAUCCUUAAACUUUAAGAUAAAUAUAUCACUUCAAUGAUCCACUUAUGAUUACCAAAUCAAGCUACCUUAGGGAUAACAGGCUAAUCCUUCUUUAGAGUCCCUAUCAACAGAAGGGAUUGGCACCUCGAUGUUGGCUUAGAUUUCCUCUUUGGCGCAGUUGUCAUAAAAGGGGGUUUGUUCAACCCAUCAUUAUCU
rnacentral:rRNA from 1 species